AUUACUGUAAGUAAUCUACAGAUAACUACUACUAAACUUCUGUUCUGUAUUUGUUUCACUGAUAGCACUUCCUCUAAGACUUCUUUAUUCUUACACAGCAGAACCUCAGUCAGGAAUCUUCUGACGACAGAGCUGAAGGCGAUGACAUCGAUGGCGAUGACGUUACACAGAAACUGGAUCAGGAGUCCUCUGACUUCGACUCUGACAAUGGGUCAGAAGACGAACAUGACGGUUGUGGGAUUACUCAGAACCUCAGUCAGGAAUCUUCUGACGGCAGAGCUGAAGGCGAUGACAUCAAUGGUGAUGACGUUACAAACCUGCACACAGACGCUGAAUCUGAUGAACUACCACCAAAUUUGAGCCAAACAACAGAGUCAUCAAUCUACAGUUUUGAGGAGAGUAUUGACCUUGGUGUGUUUGAACCACUAUUGCAGUCUUUUACUGACUCUGAAUCCAUUGGCAGUGGAGAAGAAUUUCCCAUGGAAGACAGCACAGACAAAUCAGUAAAUGAGGGAUCACACAUUAAUGAAUGCUUGCCAGUAAAUGAUGAGCCUCUUUACACAGGCUCACAACUAACAAAAGCUCAGAGUUUUUUACUUAUACUUUCAUAUGCUUUGAGACACUCACUUACUGGUGUGGCCCUGUCUGAUCUUUUAGAUUUGAUUAAUAUCCACUGUCCAGAAAAUGUCCUGACUUCAAAACAUCUGUUCCUAAAAGAGCUUAAACCAAUACAAGGUCACCUAGAAUGUCAUAUAUAUUGCCCUAACUGUGAAUAUUACAUUGGCGACCAAGUCACUGAAGGGCAGUGUUCUGUAUGUAACACUGUAUGGGAUAGAAACAGCUCAGUGAAGAAUGGAAAUUUCUUCCUAUAUCUACCCAUUCAAACACAACUGGAACAUCUUCUUCAAAGAGAAGAUAUUGCAUGUUGUCUCAAUUCAGGAAAUGUCACAUGUAAUUCAGAAAGUUAUGAUGACAUAUGUUGUGGUAAAAUGUAUCAUAAUCUGAAAAAAGAUGGUGGCCCACUA